rnacentral:lncRNA from 1 species
GGAAACAGUCAAGUUGUGGCUGACAUGUUUAUUUUUAUAAAUUUUAUGCAUAUAAUGACAAUAAAAAUAAAAAGGGAGGCAUCUUUAGUUUCUGUAACUGCAGCUGUUCUUUCCAUACAGGUAGCCCACUUGUUAUUUCCUUUCCUGUUAUGAGUCUGCCAUUUCUUCACUUCCAAAGUGGUCAUAUGCUUCUAAUAUACUUCAGUCUUCUCAAAAAAAGGUGUUCUUGCUCUUUGAAAACAUAGGAAGUCCAAGGCUAUGAAGAAAACAAAUUCAAACAUAUUUCUUUUGGCUUCAGCUUGAUCCAAAUAAUUAUUCUGAAUUCUAGGUGCAAAAAAAUAUUAUUAAUGCCAAAUAAAACAAAUACACAUCCUGCCCAGUAGACUUUCUUCCUAUUUUAUGAAAUGAAAGUAUGUUUUAAAAAAGUGUGUUUUAAAAUAAAUCAAGUCUGUUCAAAGGAAGCUACCUCCAAGUGCUAUGUUUGAAGUUUAUAAUUUAUUUUGAUUUUUUGAGUUAUUUAUACAAGUGCAAAAUUAAAAAAGAUUUUCUCAUAAAGUUACAUGUACAUAGCUACCUAGUAAGGUAUUGGGCAUCUAUUCUUAACUUGGAUCAAUAGGCAAUUUUCCAGUUUAAUCCUUGUGCUGCAUCAGUAUCUGCUAAGAAUGUGAUCAAUUCUACCUUUUGAACAUAGAAACACUUGGCCCGUCCAUGUAUCCAUCAGGCCACUCUCAGAAGAAUAUUUUAAAUGCUACUGAAAAUAGAACAUUUCUCUAUGUAACUAAAACCUCUUUCAAAAAAAUCUGUAAUUUAAUCUUUCAACAUUGACAUCACCAAAUAUCGGUGGAUUCAUUUUUAUGAAAUGAUUUUUUAAAAAUAAUUACAGAGAUCAGUAUUUAUAUAUUUUCCUAAAUUGCAUACCCAAUCAAUAUACAACUAAUGACAGCUUUCCAAUCUUUCAAUGUGUCUCACUUGACAGAAAUAUUUAUUUCUAUAUUUAUCACUAUAAAAAGUGAUCCUUUAUAGUAUAGUUUUAGAGACACAAUGCCCUUCCUCACUGUAAAGCUCUAAGGAAAGAUAGGAUGCCAAGUAUAUAACUGUGACAUGAUUCAGCCAACUGGUUAAAACACUGCAAUGGCCCUAAGAGGUUCGAGAGCCCAUCUUCCUUUUCAUCUUCCCGUAGGCAACUCUCUUACCAGACCCAUUAAUAAGUGUGACCUUUCCUACAUUAUAAAUUAAGGAUCAAAGUUUUCUCUUCCACUACUAAAGUUCACAGAGAGAUUAUUAACUACAGAAAAAUGAAUGCACAUUAAUUAGCUUCUCAAGAGGAUUUCUUGAAUGUUCAUAACGGAAACAUAUGAACAAAGGUGUAAAUUUGUCCUAAUAUAAGAAAAACUAACAAAUAAGAGAAAAGCUAACAGGAGACAAAUAACCACAAUAGAGACGUAGUAUGGUUGUGUGUGUGUGUGUGUGUGUGUGUGUGUGUGUGUGUGUGUGUGUAUCUAUGUAUGUUUACACAUCACAGUACCCAUGUGGUCAGAGAACAAUGUGCAGGAAUUAGUUCUUUCUUUUCUACCAUGGGAGUUUUAAGGGUUGAUAUCAGGUCACCAGGUUUGAUUGCAAAUGCCUUUACUCACUGAGUCAUCUUGCUGACAGCUAAAAUUACUUUUUAAUGACAAAGCAAACAGAGAAAUGCCUUAUAUUUAAAAAUCACCCUAUGAAACAUUUUGUGUGAAUAUUGCACUGUGUGUCCCUCAACCUCUGUCAUUUAUGAUCAUCUGUGUCUCCUCUGAGAACCUCUUUGAACCAAUUUUCAUCAGUUUAGUUUUCAUAUACAGAUGGGAAAGUCACUUUCCUUACC